rnacentral:rRNA from 1 species
GACGAACGCUGGCGGCGUGCUUAACACAUGCAAGUCGAACGGAAAGGCCCUGCUUUUGUGGGGUGCUCGAGUGGCGAACGGGUGAGUAACACGUGAGUAACCUGCCCUUGACUUUGGGAUAACUUCAGGAAACUGGGGCUAAUACCGGAUAGGAGCUCCUGCUGCAUGGUGGGGGUUGGAAAGUUUCGGCGGUUGGGGAUGGACUCGCGGCUUAUCAGCUUGUUGGUGGGGUAGUGGCUUACCAAGGCUUUGACGGGUAGCCGGCCUGAGAGGGUGACCGGCCACAUUGGGACUGAGAUACGGCCCAGACUCCUACGGGAGGCAGCAGUGGGGAAUAUUGCACAAUGGGCGGAAGCCUGAUGCAGCAACGCCGCGUGCGGGAUGACGGCCUUCGGGUUGUAAACCGCUUUCGCCUGUGACGAAGCGUGAGUGGCGGUAAUGGGUAAAGAAGCACCGGCUAACUCCGUG